rnacentral:tRNA from 1 species
GGAGAAGUACUCAAGUGGCCGAAGAGGCGUCCCUGCUAAGGAUGUAGGUCGGGUGACCGGCGCGGGGGUUCAAAUCCCCCCUUCUCCG